rnacentral:ncRNA from 1 species
UGUUAAUUUGGCUUUGGUUAUAAUAUAAGUUGUUACUAGGUUUAUAUAUGUUAGGUUUAUAGGUGUUCGUUUUGUCUAGUAUAUUUAUUAUUCAUUAGGUUUAAUACUUAUGUGAGUAGUAAUUUAUAUUAUUAGUAUUUUAUUAGUAUAGUAUAUACAGGCUACGCAGUAUUUAUAGUUAUACAAUGGAUGAGAGUUUGAUAUAGUUAUUGUAUUUAGAAGUGGUUAAAUUGGUGCCAGCAGCUGCGGUUAUACCAAUACUUUUAAUUUAUAUUUAUAUAGUGUAAAAUAAAGUAAAAUUUGUUAAAUAUAAUUAGAAUAAAUGAGAGUAGUAAUUGUAGGUAAAAUUUAAUUACUUUUAUUAAUUAUAUUAUUCUAAUUGGUAUUCUUUGAAAAUGAGGUUUUAAUAAACUAGGAUUAGAGACCCUACUAUUCUUUAUUUUAAAAAUUUUAUUGCUUAAGUAGUAUAAACAUGGUGUGUGUCUAUUUAAUUUAUUAUAUAUGUUUGAAACUUAAAAGGCUUGGCGGUGUUAUAUAUCCUUCCAGGGGAGUUUGCUUAUUAAUUUGAUAAUCCUCAAUUUAUACUUACUUUUUUUUGAAUAAGCCAGUUUGUGUAUUGCUGUCGUCAGUUUAUUUUGUAAAAAUUUUGUAAAAAACUUAAUAACGAGUUGGUUAUUAUGUCAAGUCAAAAUGCAGCUUAUGAAAAAGGUUUAAAGUGAGCUACGAUUUAUAAUAUUUAAUCUGAUUAAAUUAUGUAAUUGUUUUAUGAAGUUGGACUUGGUAGUAACAUAAAUACAUAAAUAGUGGGUUUUUGUGAAUUAGGUUUUAUAAUGCGUACAUAUCGCCCGUCGCUCUUGUUGGAAAAUAAGAUAAGUCGUAACAUAGUAGGGGUAGUGGAAGCUGUUCCUGGUUUGUA